AGGAACUAGGAGCACAAAUUUCAAUUAAGGAAAUAGAAGAAACAAUAAACUCAUUAAAGAAUGGAAAAAUACCAGGACCAGACGGAUUUAGUAAUGAAUUCUAUAAAGGUUUUUAUGAGAUAAUUACACCACGACUGCAAGAUUUUUAU